CAGUCGCCACGGGAAUACGUAGGUGGCAAGCGUUGUCCGGAAUUAUUGGGCGUAAAGGGCUCGCAGGCGGUUUCUUAAGUCUGAUGUGAAAGCCCCCGGCUCAACCGGGGAGGGUCAUUGGAAACUGGGAAACUUGAGUGCGGAAGAGGAGAGUGGAAUUCCACGUGUAGCGGUGAAAUGCGUAGAGAUGUGGAGGAACACCAGUGGCGAAGGCGACUCUCUGGUCUGUAACUGACGCUGAGGAGCGAAAGCGUGGGGAGCGAACAGGAUUAGAGACCCCCGUAGUCCCUGUCUCUUAUAA
rnacentral:rRNA from 1 species